rnacentral:rRNA from 2 species
GUAACGGAGGAGCACGAAGGUGGGCUAAUCACGGUCGGACAUCGUGAGGUUAGUGCAAUGGCAUAAGCCCGCUUAACUGCGAGAGUGACGGCUCGAGCAGGUACGAAAGUAGGUCAUAGUGAUCCGGUGGUUCUGAAUGGAAGGGCCAUCGCUCAACGGAUAAAAGGUACUCCGGGGAUAACAGGCUGAUACCGCCCAAGAGUUCAUAUCGACGGCGGUGUUUGGCACCUCGAUGUCGGCUCAUCACAUCCUGGGGCUGAAGUCGGUCCCAAGGGUAUGGCUGUUCGCCAUUUAAAGUGGUACGCGAGCUGGGUUUAGAACGUCGUGAGACAGUUCGGUCCCUAUCUGCCGUGGGCGUUGGAUGAUUGAGGGGAGCUGCUCCUAGUACGAGAGGACCGGAGUGGACGAACCGCUGGUGUUCGGGUUGUGUCGCCAGACGCAUUGCCCGGUAGCUAAGUUCGGCACAGAUAAGCGCUGAAAGCAUCUAAGCGCGAAGCUGGCCCCGAGAUGAGUCAUCCCUAGAGCUUCGAGCUCUCUAAAGGGUUGU